GUCUCUGCUCAGCACCUACAUUCAUGUCUUUGUUGUCUCUACAGUAGAAAGAACUACAUGAUUCUGUGAUGGGUUCUCUUUUUGGAAAUAUUGAACGGGUAUUACUGCAUCUCUUUCCGUGAGAUGCAAUGAAAGACAAGAAAAUUCUCAAGUAUCUCUGGAGAGUAGUUCAGGACUGGUCAGGGCAGAAAAGCUUGGAAAAGGCAGCCAACACCAAAGACAAAACUAAGCUACAGCAUCCACACGUUGCAUAGCUCCUCACCCACGGGAUGUGAUGCCUUUGCCAUCAUUCUCCCAAUACACCACGCUCUUUUUUCUACACCUGCCAUAGGGAAUUAAUGACUUAUCCUUUUACAUUUUUCCAUCAAAAUGUAUUUAUAAUAUUCCUUUCUUCAUUAUCCCCACUGCUGACCUCCCUCUCCCAUGGAAAUACUUACUUAUGUCACCUCCUCUGUUGGAGUAACAUUUUAUGAGCUUCAUUGACUCUAGGUUCUCUUCUUCUCUAUGUCUUAGUGUGAGGCCACCACACUAUUCUGCACCUGGAA
rnacentral:lncRNA from 1 species